AUACGCGUGGUGAAACGGUAUCAGGCUUGCCUUCCAGAUGCGCUAGCAAGCGGUUCGGGUUUGACUCCCGGUGCGUGCA